rnacentral:rRNA from 1 species
UACGUAGGGUGCGAGCGUUGUCCGGAAUUAUUGGGCGUAAAGAGCUCGUAGGCGGUCUGUCGCGUCUGCUGUGAAAACUCGGGGCUUAACCCCGAGCCUGCAGUGGGUACGGGCAGACUAGAGUGUGGUAGGGGAGACUGGAAUUCCUGGUGUAGCGGUGAAAUGCGUAGAGAUCAGGAGGAACACCCGUGGCGAAGGCGACCACCUGGGCUAAUACUGACACUGAGGUGCGAAAGCGUGGGGAGCAAACAGG